rnacentral:rRNA from 1 species
GUGCCAGCAGCCGCGGUAAUACCGGCAGCUCGAGUGAUGUCCAAUAUUAUUUGGCCUACAGCGUCCGUAGCUGGCCGCGCAAGUCCGUCGGGAAAUCCACCUGCCCAACAGGUGGGCGUCCGGCGGAAACUGUGUGGCUUGGAACCGGAAGGCUCGAAGGGUACGGCCGGGGUAGGAGUGAAAUCCUGUAAUCCCGUCCGGACCACCGAUGGCGAAAGCACUUCGAGAAAACGGAUCCGACAGUGAGGGACGAAAGCCAGGGUCUCCAACCGGAUUAGAAACCCCUGUAGUCC